rnacentral:rRNA from 1 species
CUUGACCUCAAUAUCAGGCGGGACUACCCGCUGAACUUAAGCAUAUCAAUA